UAAGGGGGGGGCUAGCGUUGUUCGGAAUUACUGGGCGUAAAGGGCGCGCAGGCGGCUGCUCAAGUCAGGCGUGAAAGGCCUGGGCUCAACCCGGGAAUUGCGCUUGAGACUGGGCUGGCUUGAGUGCGGGAGAGGAUGGUGGAAUUCCAAGUGUAGAGGUGAAAUUCGUAGAUAUUGGGAAGAACACCGGUGGCGAAGGCGGCCAUCUGGACCGCAACUGACGCUGAGGCGAGAAAGCGUGGGGAGCAAACAGG
rnacentral:rRNA from 1 species